AUUAAACGCUGGCGGCAUGCCUUACACAUGCAAGUCGAACGGCAGCACGGGGGCAACCCUGGUGGCGAGUGGCGGACGGGUGAGUAAAGCAUCGGAACGUAUCCUGGAGUGGGGGAUAACGUAGCGAAAGUUACGCUAAUACCGCAUAUUCUGUGAGCAGGAAAGCAGGGGAUCGCAAGACCUUGCGCUCUGGGAGCGGCCGAUGUCGGAUUAGCUAGUUGGUGGGGUAAAGGCCUACCAAGGCGACGAUCCGUAGCGGGUCUGAGAGGAUGAUCCGCCACACUGGGACUGAGACACGGCCCAGACUCCUACGGGAGGCAGCAGUGGGGAAUUUUGGGACAAUGGGCGCAAGCCUGAUCCAGCCAUGCCGCGUGAGUGAAGAAGGCC
rnacentral:rRNA from 1 species